UCCUACGGGGGGCAGCAGUAGGGAAUAUUAGUUAAUGUGCGAAAGCGCGAACUAGCAACGCCGCGUGCGCGAUGAAGGUCUUCGGAUCGUAAAGCGCUUUUCGAGGGGAUGAGGAAGGACAGUACCCUCGGAAUAAGUCUCGGCUAACUACGUGCCAGCAGCCGCGGUAAAACGUAGGAGGCGAGCGUUAUCCGGAUUUACUGGGCGUAAAGCGCGUGCAGGCGGCUCGGAAAGUUGGAUGUGAAAGCUCCCGGCUCAACUGGGAGAGGUCGUUCAAGACUUCCGGGCUAGAGGAUGGUAGAGGGAGGUGGAAUUCCGGGUGUAGUGGUGAAAUGCGUAGAUAUCCGGAGGAACACCAGUGGCGAAAGCGGCCUCCUGGACCAUUUCUGACGCUCAGACACGAAAGCUAGGGUAGCAAACGGGCUUAGAUACCCCGGUAGA
rnacentral:rRNA from 1 species